rnacentral:lncRNA from 1 species
UCAUAGUUUUUACCAUGUAAUUGUUUUACCCAUUCAACAAUAUGGUAAAAUAUGGUGAUAAUAUAAUAGCAUAAACCAGAGCUUUCUCAGCAAAUGUAGUGGAAUUGUCAAGAGGGGUUGUGAGGAUGAAUGAGUUAAUACAGGUCAAGUAUUUAGAAUAGGGUCUGGCACUACAUAUAUGCAUUUAAGGGCUUCCCAGGUGGCGCUAGAGGUAAAGGACCUGCCUACCAAUGCAGGAGACAUAAGACAUGUGGGUUCAAUCCCUGGGUUGGGAAGAUCCCCUGGCGGAGGGCAUGGCGGCCCACUCCAGUAAUCUUGCUGGAGAAUCCCAUGGACAGAGGAGCCUGGUAGGCUACAGUCCAUACAGUCGCAAAAAGUCAGACAUGACUGAAGUGACUUAACACACACACACACGUGCACUUAGAGGGGCGUUUGCGGUGAGGAUGGUUAAAGGAGGAUGAAAAUGGGCUGAGGGCUAGGGACCAGGAACUCUCUGAGUCCUGGAGGAAGCAAAUCCUUAAUGAACUCUAACCAGUGGCAGCUUCACAAUUGAUCAGUCUGAUGUGUUUCAGGUGGUGGCACAGACCUGCCAGAGCCAGCUGCUACUACUGCUGCUGCUAAGUCGCUUCAGUCGUGUCCAACUCUGUGCGACCCCAUAGACGGCAGCCCAGCAGGCUCCCCCAUCCCUGGGAUUCUCUAGGCAAGAACACUGGAGGGGGUUGCCAUUUCCUUCUCCAGCCAGAGCCAGCUGGGGAACCCCAAACCAUUCUGCCCUGGUGCCUGGAGAAGCAGCGUCUGAUGGAGGGUCAAGCACCACCAGAGGCAGCGCACGGAGCAGAACAGUAACGGGUUCUUGUAUCAACAUUCGUCAGACACCUACCCUGUGCUGAGAGCUGCACAAAGCUGGCUACCGAAUCGAGUACACACAGGCUCAGAAAAAGGUCUUCAACAGCGUGAGACCCACAUUGGCAGUUUAGCACGCGGCUCUGGAAUCACACUGCCUUGGUUCAAAUCCUGGCUCCACCACUUCCAAGCCAAACUAGGAGGAUUCCUGGCAGGCAUCAACCUCCUCCUGGGUAAGAUGGUGAUGAUAGAGGCAUCUGUUUUGCAAGGUUCUGUCAAUUCAGCUGAGGCUUCGCCAAGGCUAUGCUAUAUAAAGUACUUAGCACAGGAUCUGGCAAACAGGCUGCUGCUGCUGCUAAGUCGCUUCAGUCAUGUCCGACUCUGUGCAGCCUCAUAGAAGGCAGCCCACCAGGCUCUCCUGUCCCUGGGAUUCUCCAGGCAAGAACACUGGAGUGGGUUGCUAUUUCCUUCUCCCCUGGCAAACAGGAGGUGCUCUGUAAUGAGACCUAUUACCAUAAUUAAGACACAGAAUCUCACUUAGACUUACAAGGCGGUACCUUUGCAGCCCAAACACCAACAAAUCAUUCUCCCCACUUGUGGACAUGAUUGAUAGCUCAGUCUGGAGUGCUGGCAUCUAAGCUCCUACAUGCCUCUUAUCUUCUGGAGUCAGCCUCUGCCUCUGUGUGUCUUUAUAUCCCCAGCCUGCACCCUCUCCCUUCAUGACCUGGGCCCAGUGCUUGGCACAGUGGGGUCUCCCUAAUACCUAUCCCCUCGAGCUGAGUGUGUCAUCCAUCAACUAGGGGAGGGUGUUUCGGAGGACUGGCACAGUGGCAAGUCCUGGGUCCUGGACCAAGAGAAUGAAGCCAGGAGGACCCUGUAGACAGACACCUUGCUGAGACUUCAACAAGGCCCUUUUUUGAUUAAAAGUGGUACUUUCAGGGAACUCUCCAAGCAUAUCAUAAUUGAUGGGGUACUAAUAGCACACACCAAGAUUUAAUACAGCCAGACCGGGUAGAUCAUUGAGCCCCUUCUGACUCAAUUUUCAUCUCAAGAAAUAGGAAUAAAAAAUACUUGUUCCUUUAGGGUUUCGUAAGG